rnacentral:rRNA from 1 species
GACGAACGCUGGCGGCGUGCUUAACACAUGCAAGUCGAACGGAAAGGCCCUGCUUGCCGGGUACUCGAGUGGCGAACGGGUGAGUAACACGUGGGUGAUCUGCCCUGCACUUCGGGAUAAGCCUGGGAAACUGGGUCUAAUACCGGAUAGGAGCCAUUUUUAGUGUGAUGGUUGGAAAGUUUUUUCGGUGUAGGAUGAGCUCGCGGCCUAUCAGCUUGUUGGUGGGGUAAUGGCCUACCAAGGCGGCGACGGGUAGCCGGCCUGAGAGGGUGGACGGCCACAGUGGGACUGAGAUACGGCCCAGACUCCUACGGGAGGCAGCAGUGGGGAAUAUUGCACAAUGGGCGCAAGCCUGAUGCAGCGACGCCGCGGGGGGGAUGACGGCCUUCGGGUUGUAAACUCCUUUCGCUAGGGACGAAGCUUUUUGUGACGGUACCUAGAGAAGAAGCACCGUCUAACUACGUG